rnacentral:rRNA from 1 species
CGCGUAGGCGGCCUGGUAAGUCAAAUGUGAAAGCCCGGGGCUUAACCCCGGAAGUGCAUUUGAAACUGUCAGGCUUGAGUAUGGGAGAGGGAAGUGGAAUUCCUGGUGUAGAGGUGAAAUUCGUAGAUAUCAGGAGGAACACCGGUGGCGAAGGCGACUUCCUGGACCAAUACUGACGCUGAGGCGCGAAGGCGUGGGUAGCAAACAGGAUUAGAUACCCUGGUAGUCC